GUGAUAGUUGAGAGAAAGAGCUGUUCUAUGGGUUCAACCAGGUGAUAGUUGAGAGAAAGAGCUGUUCUAUGGGUUCAACCAGGUGAUAGUUGAGAGAAAUAGCUGUUCUAUGGGUUCAACCAAGUGAUAGUUGAGAGAAAUAGCUGUUCUAUGGGUUCAACCAGGUGAUAGUUGAGAGAAAGAGCUGUUCUAUGGGUUCAACCAGGUGAUAGUUGAGAGAAAGAGCUGUUCUAUGGGUUCAACCAGGUGAUGUAGUGAGAGAUAGAGCUGUUCUAUGGGGUUCAACCAGGUGAUAGUUGAGAGAAAGAGCUGUUCUAUGGGGUUCAACCAGGUGAUAGUUGAGAGAAAGAGCUGUUCUAUGGGUUCAACCAGGUGAUGUAGUGAGAGAAAGAGCUGUUCUAUGGGGUUCAACCAGGUAAUAGUUGAGAGAAAUAGCUGUUCUAUGGGUUCAAUCAGGUGAUAGUUGAGAGAAAGAGCUGUUCUAUGGGUUCAACCAGGUGAUAGUUGAGAGAAAGAGCUGUUCUAUGGGUUCAACCAGGUGAUGUAGUGAGAGAAAGAGCUGUUCUAUGGGUUCAACCAGGUGAUGUAGUGAGAGAAAGAGCUGUUCUAUGGUUUCAACCAGGUGAUGUAGUGAGAGAAAGAGCUGUUCUAUGGGUUCAACCAGGUGAUGUAGUGAGAGAAAGAGCUGUUCUAUGGGUUCAACCAGGUGAUAGUUGAGAGAAAGAGCUGUUCUAUGGGUUCAACCAAGUGAUAGUUGAGAGAAAGAGCUGUUCUAUGGGUUCAACCAGGUGAUGUAGUGAGAGAAAGAGCUGUUCUAUGGGUUCAACCAGGUGAUGUAGUGAGAGAAAGAGAUGUUCAAAUGUGGACCUAGAAGGCAGAGACAAGCCAACCCCCGAUAUCAUUUGGGGGCCUUUAAGGGGGUACAUUAGGGGAGAGAUAGUCCAACCCCCGAUAUCAUUUGGGAGGCCUUUAAGGGGGUACAUUAG
rnacentral:lncRNA from 1 species